CAGUCCGUUGAUAGCCGAUGGGUUCAAGACUGGGACCCCCGUGCCUAGCCCUCAGAGCCAAUCCUUUUCCCAAGGUUACGGAUCCAUUUUUCCAACUUCCCUUGCCUACAUUGUUCCAUUGACCAGAGGCUGUUCACCUUGGAGACCUGAUGCGGAUAUAAGUACGACCAGGCGUGGUCGGCACUCGGUCCUUCGGAUUUUUAAGGGCCACCGGGGGCGCACCGAACACCACGUGAUGUGCAGUGCUCUUCCAGCCGCUAGACCCUACCUCCGGCUAAGCCAUUUCUAGGGUUGGCUGGCUGUUAAACAGAAAAGAUAACUCUU